CAAGGUUAAGCAGCUAAUGUGGAGCCGUAGCGAAAGCGAGUCUGAAUAGGGCGUUGAGUAUUUGGUCGUAGACCCGAAACCAGGUGAUCUACCCAUGGCCAGGAUGAAGGUGCGGUAACACGCCCUGGAGGUCCGAACCCACUAAUGUUGAAAAAUUAGGGGAUGACUUGUGGAUCGGAGUGAAAGGCUAAUCAAGCUCGGAGAUAGCUGGUUCUCCUCGAAAGCUAUUUAGGUAGCGCCUCGGACGAAUACUACUGGGGGUAGAGCACUGUUAUGGCUAGGGGGUCAUCGCGACUUACCAAACCAUUGCAAACUCCGAAUACCAGUACGUACUAUCCGGGAGACACACGGCGGGUGCUAACGUCCGUCGUGAAAAGGGAAACAACCCAGACCCACAGCUAAGGUCCCAAAUUCACUGCUAAGUGGAAAACGAUGUGGAAAGGCAUAGACAGCCAGGAGGUUGGCUUAGAAGCAGCCACCCUUUAAAGAAAGCGUAAUAGCUCACUGGUCGAGUCGGUCUGCGCGGAAGAUUUAACGGGGCUAAGCAGUGAACCGAAGCUUGGGGUGCGUAAAACUUCGGUUUUAUGCGCGGUAGAGGAGCGUUCCGUAAGCCUGCGAAGGUGGAUUGAGAAGUCUGCUGGAGGUAUCGGAAGUGCGAAUGCUGACAUGAGUAACGAUAAUGCGGGUGAAAAGCCCGCACGCCGAAAGCCCAAGGUUUCCUUGCGCAACGUUAAUCGACGCAGGGUUAGUCGGUCCCUAAGGCGAGGCUGAAAAGCGUAGUCGAUGG
rnacentral:rRNA from 1 species